GAGGAGGAUAGAGAAAAAGGAGAAGAAAUGGAUGUUCGUGGGUGAGUCACCAUGAGUGGUCGAGCAGCGGGCAGCAAGCAGCAGACAGCAGGCAGGAAUGGCGAGCGGUUGGCUGGCUUAUCAUUGACCGGCGAGUGUUAGAAGAGCUGCCUGGUGCAGAGAGGCAUUGUACUCAUGUUGGCGGGUCAAUAUGUGAGCUUCGUCCCAGGCUGAACUGAGUGCAUCUCCUCUAAUGCUGUGUAACUUGAGCAGCUUCCUAUGAUGGAGAGAACUACAUUAUCAGGACAGUGAUGACUUACAACAUGUGUAGCUACUGUGGAUAACCUCACCCCACCCUCUACUUGAAGGCACUGUGAUAUCAAUCUUGCAGGACAAUGGUGACUUACAUGUGUGGCUGCUGUGGAUGAUCUCGCCCCUACUGUGCACUCAAAGGCACAGUGUGGCAAUCAAGAGGGGGUUACCAAAUCAAAUGCUCUUAUAAUAUGAGGUCAGGGGCAGCCUCUCCUUCAUAUGGAUCUUCACUGCUUCCAACUCCAUCAGCAUCAUGAAAGCAUCAUGGAAACGGGAAAACUUUUAAGCCAAGACUGGUUAGCUGAUUUAACUAGUUCUGUCAUGAAUGAUCAAGUUAACUUUGAGCCAGGCUUGAUUGUGUCAUAUCACUACACAACUAAAUUUAGGGAUGCAGAAAUAUAUUCUCAUUACAGCUUGUCAGUUUCAGAUCAAAGUUUACAUAGCUUGCAACUUCUGUUUGGCAGUUGUUAGCUACAAUGUAUUUUUUUAAAUUGUCUUCACUAGUAGUAGAUAGUCAGACUGAGGUUGUCUUAACCAUUUUCAUAAAUGUCAAAGAUUUUUAGGUAGGACUUUUAAAAUACUGACAAUAUAUAAGGAAGGAUUUGUACACUUUUGAGACUGAGAAUUUAGUGGUAGAUAGUAAAACUGAGUACAAUAGUGUAAUUCUUUUGAACUGUGUAGAACCAGGGUUUUGAACUGUGUAGAACCAGGGUUUGAGUGGGAGGUUGGGGAGGAAUUUGAUGCCUUCCAAUAUCUUUCUUGUGCAAGUCACUUGCAGCAGACCUACUUGCAUUGUGGUUGGUAACAUAGGUAGGGUCUGUCCUUGUACGUUCCACAUCUUGCAUUUUUUAUAUAUAAAGAAUAUUUAAAAAAAAAAUUGUUAGAAUCAUUCCGAGUGGUGUGUCACUGAUUCUACUAGGUUUAGUAAUUUAGCUAUCUGAGCACUUGUGAAUGGUAACACUGCCACAGACUUUACAUCCUUUUUUUUUACUAAUCAGAUUUUUUGGUCAGAACAGUGACUGAACACAAAGCUUUUAAAUUACUUGUAUCUAAAAAAGAAUAUAAAAUCUGCAUCAUCCAGUGCUACGUCAGGAAGCUAAUCAUCAGUUUACCAUAAUUACAAUGAAAAAUACCCACAGUCACUUCCUUAUCCAUUCAAACUUUAUCAUCACUUCCUUAUUAUCCAUUCAAACUUUAUCAGUCUCCUUAAUUCUUUCACUCCCUCUCACUAACAACAUUCAUUCCUUUCAAGUUUUAAUUUAAAAGUUUACUUGUUUCAUAUACAGGACACAUCUGGCUGGAUCUUGCACUAACCUUGCUUUCCUGAAUUCUUUCACUGCCUCUAACCAACAUUCAUUCCAUCAGGUUUUUGGAAGUCUACUGUUUCAUACACACAUUCUGUAUCUUGCACAAACCCAACAAUCUUAAAUGCACAAGCCCAACAAUCUUAAAUCUUUUUAUCAUGUAAUGAUGUGCAUUAUAUGCUCUACAGAUGCGGUUUUUACACAGGUGAACUGGUAAUCUGCUACAUUGUCCCUGAGAUCUGACACCAUGGAGAGUGUGUUGUGCCUCUGGAACUCUUGCAUAACUUUCCCUCACACUGAGAUGUGCACCACCACCUCUGAAAAGACACGACUAACUCAGCUCAACAAUACAAAAGAUUCUGGAGUAAUUUUGUGGACUGAUAUCAAUCAAUAAAAGUUGCUUUUAUU